UGGACCUGUCUUAUAAAACUGCGGAGCAGUGGGAGAGAGAGUGCCGCUCCAAGCAGCUUGUGAAGUGACUGGGGUCUGCUCAGUGUGGCGAAGUCUGGGAAGGCUGUGGAACACCACCGCUCCAGUAGCUGUGAAAACAUGAAGACCAAGUGUGAGAAUGUGGUGUUCAACAACCAAAGUUUAGAGACCAGAACUAAAAAGGUAUCUGGGCUAAGAUGACAGCCAGUAUUUUGGCCCUGGCCCUCCAAAGUCAACUACAACAACUACAACAAAAAGAUCCAGGACAUGAAGGAAGCUUCUCCAAGAUCCUACAUCUUUGGUGUCACCCAACCUCCUGAGCAGGGAGGUUGCUGAACACUAAAAUGGCAAGCUAUGGUAUUCUGAGACAUAAUUCCAUUUUGGCCUCCAGUCACAAUUGAGAUCUCAGUGAUCCCAUGAUGCUGUGAUGCUCCAGGGCAAGGCCACACCUGCAGGAGACACACUGGGAGGAACCAAAUCUUCAUCUGCAUAGUUCCUCAUUGUUCUUAGAUUUCCA
rnacentral:lncRNA from 1 species